rnacentral:rRNA from 1 species
GACGAACGCUGGCGGUAUGCUUAACACAUGCAAGUCGAACGAGACGAGAUGGAAGUGCUUGCACGGAAAUCUUAGAAAGUGGCGAACGGGUGAGUAACGCGUGGGUAACCUGCCCUAUGGAAAGGAAUAGCCUCGGGAAACUGGGAGUAAUGCCUUAUAAGAUACAUUUGUCGCAUGGCAGAAGUAUUAAACGCUCCGGUGCCAUAGGAUGGACCCGCGUCCCAUUAGCUAGUUGGUGAGAUAACAGCCCACCAAGGCGACGAUGGGUAACCGGUCUGAGAGAGCGAACGGUGCGACUGGAACUGAGACACGGUCCAGACUCCUACAGGAGGCAGCAGUGGGGAAUAUUGCGCAAUGGGGGCAACCCUGACGCAGCAAUACCGCGUGAGUGAAGAAGGUUUUCGGAUCGUAAAGCCCUGUUAUUGGGGAAGAAAAAGGACGGUACCCAAGAAGAAAGUCCCGGCUAACUACGUGCCAGCCGCCGCAGUAA